rnacentral:rRNA from 1 species
CCUACGGGUGGCAGCAGUGGGGAAUAUUGGACAAUGGGGGGAACCCUGAUCCAGCCAUGCCGCGUGUGUGAAGAAGGCCCUCGGGUUGUAAAGCACUUUCAGUGAGGAAGAACGCCUGGUGGUUAAUACCCAUCAGGAAAGACAUCACUCACAGAAGAAGCACCGGCUAACUCCGUGCCAGCAGCCGCGGUAAUACGGAGGGUGCGAGCGUUAAUCGGAAUUACUGGGCGUAAAGCGCGCGUAGGUGGCUUGAUAAGCCGGUUGUGAAAGCCCCGGGCUCAACCUGGGAACGGCAUCCGGAACUGUCAAGCUAGAGUGAAGGAGAGGAAGGUAGAAUUCCCGGUGUAGCGGUGAAAUGCGUAGAGAUCGGGAGGAAUACCAGUGGCGAAGGCGGCCUUCUGGACUGACACUGACACUGAGGUGCGAAAGCGUGGGUAGCAAACAGGAUUAGAUACCCUAGUAGUC